UUUUCUAUGCUUAAACACGUUUCACCACUCUGUUGGAUCAAACAGAAUCGAUGUUAACCCAGUGUACGUAUAUAUUCGGUUCCAUUAUAUAUCUCCUUUCCUUACACGCGCAAUGAACCUAUUCUGCAAUGGAAAAUAUUUAAAAAAUCUCACUAGUGAAUGGCCCAAGCGGAACCCAACGUUAUUAAUUUUACAAGGGCGGGGGUCUACAUGUCUCGUUCGCUAAGCGACGUGCGUGUCGCAGCACGUUAGGCAGAGCGCUUAACAGCUAUGUAGAGCCACCCUAAGCUAGUAAAGACUUGAAAGUAAAGUAGGAUUUUGGAAUGCAUAAUCGCAUAUUGGCCUGCGCGCGCAAGCAUGAAUAAAAAGAUAUAACCUUUUCUACUUGCGCAGACGCCAUUUUCAGCUUUAGCAGUUAGUUCUCUAUUGCCGCGUGCUCGUAGAAAGUUUUCGUUGAUAUUAUUCUUAUUUCUGACUCAUUAGAGUCUAAAUGAGCUGUCAUGACUAAUCGAGGCAGAAAUAGCUUUGAAAGAAUGGAGAAAAGGUUAAUAAAAGUAUAUAGCUACUUUCCUAAUCGCUGACCACGUUGAUGACAUUUUUUUCGAAUCUAACUACUAAUGAACAACGCGUGGACUUCGUUAACCUCAUUCAAUUUACAUGGCUCAUUCCAGGGCAACUUGCAAAUAAUGGUGAAAAAUAAGUUUCAAAUACGUUUUGAUUUUCUUUGAUUCAUUGCAAAUCACAGUACUAUUAACACUUCUACCAAGUGUAAAUUGAUUUCAUGCGUCGUUGUUCAAAGAAUGCUUAAACUUGCGCAACUUCAUCAAUGAAUAUGAGUCCAUGAAUUUAGCACUUGUCGUUGAACUAAUGCAAUUUAUUAGUUAUUUA